AGGGUCUCCUCGUCUAUGUCAAUUGAAGGGUCUAUGGCCUUUGAGAAAGUGUCCUUGUUAAUGUGCAUUCUGCGGAACCAUGAUACAAGGUGCAAGCUUUCUUCUGGCUGGCUCUCGUCGAUUGCUUUUCUACCAGAUAUCAUCUCCAUGAGAAUCACCCCAAAGCUAUAAACGUCGACCUUGGUCGUAACUCGUCCAGUUACUGCAUAUUCAGGGGCAAGAUAGCCAAAUGUUCCUGCAAGUCUCGUUUCAAUUGACGCUUUCCCUUCAGGAGCAAGACGAACCAACCCAAAGUCAGCUACUUUAGCCCGCAAAUCAUCUCCGAGAAGAAUGUUUGAUGGCU
rnacentral:misc_RNA from 1 species